UUUUCUUUUUUAUGAAUAUAUGUGAUGACAGCACCAAUAAUUAAUGUGCAAUUUGUUCAAAAGGUCCUUUUCAUAUAAACACCUGGAAUUAAUAAGUGAAACCAUAUUUCCACAGCUUCAUAAUUCGAUUAACUAUUUGUACACAUCUUUGAGAGCCAACAACAACAUUAUCCAUUCCUCAGGUUGGGAUGAAAGGAAACAUUCUUAAUUCCAAACCAUUACACACAAUAUUUAAAGGCCAUGUUAUAGCUAUAGCAAGAGAAGAAAGGGGACCAUCUGACCCCUGAGAGCUGUUAAUAUCAGGAGCAAGAAAGACUUCUGGUGUUUGUUAAAGAAUAAUGCCACCAUUGCAGGGUGAUCAAGGUAUCUUUGAAGGGCAGUGGAAGAGUGGCUUGUUCACCCAAGUUAGAAUGAAGGAAGCUAUAACCCACAUUGGGAACAGAAUAUAAAGCAGUUCUAACAAGCAUAAUUUUUUGCAAGCAAUUAAUCAAAAUGUAUUUAGCAAGUCAUUUCCAAUGAUAAUCAACAGACCUGCUUAAAACAAUAACCAUUUGGCAAUGACAACACUGUUCAUUCUGAUGUAAGUGGGCUUUGAUGCUUGAAAUAAAACACAGUGCUUCCAAGUGA